UACGGAGGGGGCUAGCGUUGUUCGGAAUUACUGGGCGUAAAGCGCACGUAGGCGGCUUUGUAAGUUAGAGGUGAAAGCCCGGGGCUCAACUCCGGAAUUGCCUUUAAGACUGCAUCGCUAGAAUUGUGGAGAGGUAAGUGGAAUUCCGAGUGUAGAGGUGAAAUUCGUAGAUAUUCGGAAGAACACCAGUGGCGAAGGCGGCUCACUGGCUCGAUACUGACGCUGAGGUGCGAAAGCGUGGGGAGCAAACAGG
rnacentral:rRNA from 1 species